UGCGCAGUGGCCCCUCCAGUGUUUUCAAGUUGAUGUAGAUAGUAAUAUGUGCAACACUGCAACAUCCUAGAUUUGAUAGGUAGGUUAGCUGGCGGAUGUCUCAUCCCUGAGAAUUAGGGGUUUGAUUCUACUUAUUCUUUUUUUUUCCUUUUAGGACGUACAUAGAUUAUUUAUUUUAUUUUCACGCUACUAAUAUUUUCUUGUCGACAUUAUACUAUAUUUUACACUUUUUACUAAAACGUUUACAUUUUUAAAUACCUGUCCUAUAGUAAGAGAAACUUUGUUUUAACUUUUGAUAUUUUGAACACUCUUUACAUGCUUAUAUAAUGUUUCCCCUCUUAAGUUUAUGUCAAGCUCCACCACGGUUGUUGCUAUUGAUGUUGUUUGUCGGAGAAGUGGGAACAAGGGUUUUCACUUUAUCAUAUGCUUGGGUCACUAUGAGCCCCACUUUGUCUCAAGGGGAAGAUGGCGCACGGCAUCAACCUUUGCCCCAAGCUCACGAAGAUGACCUGAGGAAGACAACAGCCCGUGGACAAGUCCUUCAGACCCCGGGGCUGAAACGUCUAACCUGGGUGGAUUAGGGCCCCGAGCCCCCGAGGAUAGCAGCAGGACUCGAGGUCUCCCCGAAGGAAUCUGGCCCAUUAAGAGGAUUUGACUAGGUCUUGUGCGUUAUUUUAUCCUAUCAUUUUGCAUUAAUUACGGGGUGAUACAAAUCUUGUGAGCUUAUCAUAGGCGACAUAGGAGAUGUGGUUGUGCAUGCUGCCUCUCACGCGCCCACGUCACCUUGGAGAAAAAGGUUUGCGAUGUGCCACGCCCUCAACUAUCACCCCAAGCCCUCCCUGUCAGCUUCGGUGGUUGAUAGGUGGGCCUAGGGACAAAUAAGAUGAAGACUUUGCGGCCUUGCUCCAGAUGUUAGCUAGUAGGUGAGCCCAUUCCAUCCGACCGGCCUACUUGGAGGGACAGCGACAAGACCAAGCAAACCAACCCUUGUGUAUUGGGUCCCUCUUUCAUAUGCAUGCAUGGGCAUUGUGGAUAGGCCUGCUAAUAGGUUGGGUGGGAAUUGGUAUAAUGGAUUGGUUUUCAUUUUGGGUAGAAAUGGUCUAACGAAGCUGUUGGGUUGGGGCAGUUUGGACUUUGCUGAAAGUGGAUUGGAUCGAUCUGGUUUUCGGUCAUAUACCUUUGGGUCCAAAAUGGGUUCAACCCAUGGAUUUUCAUUGAAUCGUCCCCAAAUCCUCUAUGCUAGCUUGAUGGACACACUCAUCUUCCUCGUGAGCACAAGGAUGCCCAAGGCAUGCCCGUCGGCAUGCGUCGUCGUCGAUUCGGGCUUGGACGCCAUGCGCGUUAACUUCAAGCACCUUUCAACCAUGAGGUAGUUCGAGGACCUCGCGGCGAAAAUCUUAGGGAGAAAGGAGAUGGUGCGUUCGUAGGAGAUCUUCGUUGGCGACAAGUACAAGCAGCAAUAGUCCGCCGCCACACUCGCUUUCCUCAUGGAUGCAACUAGGUCGACUAUGACGAACAUCCGAGAAAGGAGAGCAUCGACUAUGACGACAUCCGAGAAGUAGCCUCGAGCGGCCAGAAAUCAUCUAUUUGCUGGGAAUCAGGCGCCGGCAAGGACAACUCCUCGAAGAUCUACCACUUGGUGCGUCAUCCACAAGACGACCAAUCACUCUUUUACGGACUGCAAGGUGGUGCAACACGUGAGAGCUGAACUCGAAGCCUGCAAGGAACGGGGUAUUCAGCGUGCUUCACCAACCAAGACCACCUGGUGUCUGAUCCAUAAGUCAAGACUCAAGAGGACAUGAGCUCUUAGGCUGCAAAGUCUUCCUUGACGCCACCAAACCUCCACGCCCUCAGAUCCAAGAACGACGAGUUCAAACUCGAAGCGUUGCAUAGGAACAGAGCCCAGGGAGCUCCUGACCGUUUCGGGAUUCAUUGGUAUGGACCCCCACGAGGCCUCGGUUUUACAUAGCUUGGAGGAUCUAGAGUCCUCGGCACCUAAUACUCUACGAAAGGUGAACGUAAUCGAGGGAGUAGUCCGAGUAAUCAAAAUCCAACUGCUCGGGCGACCACAGAUCCCAUCUGUACUCCCGCCAAGCAUUUGAACACAAUCAACUCAAUAUUAAGAUAGAGCCCUUUUGAUCCGGUCAUGUUCCCUGAUGGCGGGUCGAACGACUACGAUCCACAAUGGUGAAUCUCAAUAGUGCUUUUGCGGCGGCGACUGGACCUCCGGCUCAAGAUCCUCCUCAACUCCCAGCUCGAGGAGAAGAGGUGCACGUCGACGGCAGUGUCGAAGAAGACCCCAACGAACAUUCGAGCUGAGAUCCUGGUCGUAACCUCCCAAUACCUCACCUCGAGGACCUCGUCAGGGGACCCCACCCCUCAAGAUAAUCGCGAUUUACGUGACCACUUGAACGGGCGCCGACGGGAACGACGAGAACAAGACAACGCUCACCGACAUCAGCGCCGUUCACCUCGACGCAAUAAUGACGACAACCGAGCGUUCACUCCAACAUUGCGAGAAAUACGGUGGAUCGAAAAAUUCUAACCAGGAGCGAUGGAAGCACCGUCCCUGAGGAAUUCCUCCAUGUUUAUUCCACGGUUCUUUACGCUGCUGGAGCAGAUGACAAUGCGCUCGCAAACUACUUGUCGUCUGUGUUGAAAGGAUCUGCUCGAUCAUGGCUAGUUCAUCUCCUACCCUGCUCGAUCUCAGUUCGUCGCCAACUUUCAGGGUACAUACAAGUGCCACGCGAUCGAGGAAGACCUUCACAAUUUAACUCAACCCAGGUGAAUGUUUGAGGGACUAUAUUCGGCGGUUCAAUGAAUAUAGAAAUCUGUCUCAAAGGAAUCUGCCCCAUUAAGGGGAUUUGACUAGGUCAUGCGCAUUACUUUACCCCACCAUUUCACAUUAAUUGCGGGGUGAUAUGAAUAUUGAUAGCAGACCACAUACAAUGUGAGAAACGUGGCCAUGCAUGCUACCUCUCACACGCCCACGUCUUCCUGGAGAAAAAGGUGUGCGACGUGGCACGCCCUCAACUAUCACCCCACUACCCCCUCCCCCUUUGUUAGCUUUGGUGGCUAAUAGGUAGGCUGAUGGACAACUAAGAUGAAGACUUUUGCAGCCCUGCUCCACAUGUCAGCCGUUUGGUAAGCCCGUCCCAUCUGACCAGCCUACUUGGAGGGACAGUGACAAGACUAAGCAUAACAACCCCUAUGUACUGGGUCCCACUUCCGCAUGCAUGCAUGGGGAGGAUCCAUGUCUCUGAGAAAAAAAAAAGUUCGACUCCCUGGAGUAGACUAAGUUCAUACACUCCCACUUAGCACAUUCCCCCUACACCUGUUGUAAAUCUUGUUCAUCAUCACAUAGAGUAAGAACAUAAGAGUAGGGUAUUACGCUUCUCAGCCCGAACCUAUAUAAACCACCUGUCCCACCUUCUUUCUCUUGCAUCCUGGCCACAAGCUUAGAACCUGCACCUUGGCCGAACUCUGAAGGGAAGGUAUCUUGCAUUCCCACUAGAGGAGCUCCGUGCUCCGACACGUUGUCUAGAAGAGGGAUGAGAUAGCGCCAUUAGCCUGAUAACAGUUUGCUCAUUGAGCUUUUUUCAUUUUUUCCCCUGUGUUGUUGCUAUUUGUAAAGAGAUCUUUUACAGUGUUUGCGAGGUACUUGGAGGUGGAACAACGUGAACCAUUGAUAAGAGAGGGGCAAGGUACGGAACAAAAAUAUUGUAACAUGAUGGCAGUGGAGUAAUUAACUUGUAAAACAUGGGCAUUAUACGUUAAUUGAAUACUAACAUCCAUCUGUCAGUAUUCAGAUCGGUAAGUCAGUAUCCAGAUCGGUAAGCCAUCAGAGAAAAGAGUAAAUCACGGAUAUCAAUCCGAUUGAUCCGUAACAGAUCGCAUCUCCAUUCUUCUUUCCCUUGGGUUCGUUCUUGUUCUAGGGUUUGGAUGUUUCACUGGAAGGAGACAGGUUCGCCAAAAGGAGACAGAGAGAAAAGUUUUGGCAUGGUUGAGGGUUGAAGAGGAGACUAGAUCGCCUGGUCAACGUCAACCUAACGCAUCGUGUUUUAACGGGUGUACCCACGAGGAGACACGGUUGAGGAAGAAGCUCUGGUAUGGUUGAGCGUUUGAACAGGAGGCAAGAUCUAAUUGACAUGUACAGGGUUUGAAUAGGUGAACUUGCUUGGUGACAUAAUUGAGGGAGAAGCAUUGGCACUGUCUUGUGUUUGAAUAUGAGACAUAAUCUGAUUGACACGUACGUAACAAGUGCAUAGGUUUUAAGCUCUGAUGGAGGAUACAGGGAUAUCGGUUGAGGAAUUGUUGGAGUACCAACAAAUUGUCAGCAAGACAUUCAAUAGUGAGGAUGAAGGAAUUCACUUCUACAACAAGUACGCUUGGGAUAAAGGCUUUAGCAUAAGAAAAUCAUAUGCUGAAAGAAGAAAUGCCGCAAAAGAGGUCAAACGGAAAAGAACCUAUGACCUUUUGUUGUAAAAAGGCUGUUGUUGAUGAAGUUUGUCUGACAUAUUUAUCUAGCGGGUAUGAUAUUGGUGUUUGUGAGCAUGCUCACCAUGAGUCAGACUACUUGUGUUGAUAUGUUGUUGGUUAACUUGACAUAGCAUGUUCAAUUGGAGGCAAGUAUCAUAAAUUGAUGAAAUGUAUAAUUUAAAUUGAUGCUAACCUUGGGUGAUAUUUUAACUGGUCAUGUUUCUGAAACACAAUAUAAAUAUCUUGCUAGAAACAAACUAUAAUU